UGUCUACAACACCUGGGAUUCCCAGGCCGUCUCCGAUCCAAGUACUAACCAGGCCCAACGUUGCUUA
rnacentral:rRNA from 1 species